rnacentral:rRNA from 1 species
AUUGAACGCUGGCGGCGGGCCUAACACAUGCAAGUCGAACGAGUGGCGGACGGGUGAGUAAUGUCUGGGAAACUGCCUGAUGGAGGGGGAUAACUACUAGAAACGGUAGCUAAUCCCGCAUACCAUCAGAUGUGCCCAGAUGGUAUUAGCUUGUUGGUGGGGUAACGGCUCACCAAGGCGACGAUCCCUAGCUGGUCUGAGAGGAUGACCAGCAACACGGGAACUAGGACACGGACCAGACUCCUACGGGAGGCAGCAGUGGGGAAUAUUGCACAAUGGGCGCAAGGCUGAUGCAGCCAUGCCGCGUGUAUGAAGAAGGCCUUCGGGUUGUAAAGUACGUUCAGCGGGGAGGCGGUACCCGCAGAAGAAGCACCGGCUAACUCCGUGCCAGCAGCCGCGGUAAUAC